GGAUGCCUUGGCAGUCAGAGGCGAUGAAGRACGUAUUAACUUGCGAUAAGCCCAGAUUAGGUAGUAAAAACCACUUGAGUCUGGGAUUUCCGAAUGGGGAAACCCACUAGCAUAAGCUAGUAUCGCUGCGUGAAUACAUAGCGCAGCGAGGCGAACCGGGGGAACUGAAACAUCUAAGUACCCCGAGGAAAAGAAAUCAACCGAGAUUCCGAAAGUAGCGGCGAGCGAAAUUGGACUAGCCCUUAAGCUUUUUAUGCGUCAGGUGAAACUUCUGGAAAGUUGUGCGAUACAGGGUGAUAGCCCCGUAACCGGCAACGCAUUUAAAGUGAAAUCGAGUAGGGCGGGACACGUGAUAUCCUGUCUGAAUAUGGGGGGGACCAUCCUCCAAGGCUAAAUACUACUGACUGACCGAUAGUGAACA
rnacentral:rRNA from 1 species